rnacentral:lncRNA from 1 species
CCCUUCGCAGCACAGCACAGGCCCUGAAAUUCCCCAAUAAUUUCCCUCUCGCUUGCCGACGGCGACGGCGACGGCGGUCCAGAUCCGUUGCCAAGCUCCGCCCCCGCGUUGUGCUCGUCGCAUCCUCCCAAUCCGAGGCCCCGGCAUCUCGCGUUCAGCAAUCCUGUGGUGGGUUCCCUACCUCCCUCCCCUUCCCCUCUCAGGAUCUAGCAGCACCUCGUCGGCGGCAAGUCGGUGGUGGGCUCCUCGCUUCCUUUCCCUCUCAGGCUCACGCUCAGGCUCAGGCUCAACGUUUUUCUUUCUGCAGUAUUCUUUAGUGGCAUUGCUCAUUACUUGAAGGCUUUGCCGUUGUUAACAUAGACUGGGAUCAUCUUAAGGUGCGUACACUAGUUCAUUAAUUAGAGUACUAGUAUUUUCUUGAUAAGUAUCCUCUCAGGCUCAGGCUCACGCUCAAGUUUUCUUUUAUGUAGUGCUCUUCAGUGGCAUUGCUCAUUACUUGAUGGCGAGGCAUGACACCUAUGAUUGACAAGGAAACUCACAAGGCUUGCCGUUGUUAACAUAGACUGGGAUCAUAUUAAGGUGCGUACACUAAUUCAUAAUUAUAGUACUGGUAUUUUCUUGAUAAUUGUCCCCUCUGCCUAAACUAUUUUAGCCAUGCUCAAAAGGUAGUAUUUUUAUUUAAGUUGCUUGAGAAAGAAUGUGUUUGAGGCCAACUUGUAUUGAGGUUAACAUAUGCUACCUCUGUUCACUGAUGUAAGAUGUUUUGCAGUACUCCCUCCGUCCGAAAAUACUUGUACAAGAAAUGGAUAAAAAUGGAUGUAUGUAGAACUAAAAUAUGUCUAGAACUCUAGAUACAUCCAUUUCUCCGACAAGUAUUUCUGGACGGAGGGAGUAUUUCUUUUCUGUUUUGCAUUCUUGUAUCUAUUACAUACUUCUGUAUAAUCUAUCAGGUCCGUUUGCAUUGUAAAUUUUUAAAUAGACGUGACUAUGUUGUUUUGCUGGUUUGGUAGGCUGAAGUACGAACCAUAGAUUCAUGUUUUGUGGCUUAAAGUGUUUCAUAGUUUCUGUUCUUUUUGUGGUUAUUCAGGAGUAAGAACAAAUUGUACUUAUUCGAGAGUAAGAACGAAAUAGCAAGGGAUAUGAAAUCACUCUGCUCUUUGGUCCAGAUACCCCCACAUAAUGAUGACCUGUUCUUUUACCCAAAUCACCACAAGUAUCAUCAUAUCUUUGUGUCUUAGGUAGCUAUAAUUGCAAAGGGCCCAACCAAUAAGAGGUGCUUCAAGGCUAUUACAGCAGUGGAAAUCAUCACCUUCCGUGCACAUGAAAACAUUGUGGCCUGCACUUGUAGUGCUGCUGUCAGCAGAGUUGUGUGCGUUAAGGCAAUGGUGAGGCAUAAGACAUAAUUAGCAGGAAAUUUCUAUGGGAGGAAGCAAAUGGCUGAUUGUUUUGACCUACUUGGACUUGAUUUGGGAUAGACCUUCAGUUGGUAACCAGCCAUUGAACUAUAAAACUUUUAUAUAAUAUAAUAUCAAUACAUCAG